AGAAUUACUCAUUAUGAGAUCAUAAAAGAAAAGAAAAAGGUUUGAAAAGUGAUUAUGCCAUGAGAAUGAUAUGACUUGAGGAUGCAGGGGCAGCUUUCCUGAGAAAGUUGAAGUUAAGCCGAGCCAUUAAAAAUGCCUGGCUAAGCAAAGGAAUAGGGCUAGAAAUGAGGUAUCCCAAGAAAUCUGAAUAGAACUUAUAAAAUUCCAGAUGCUACAAACAACUAAGAGACUCAAGAAAUUUAAGCAAAGCUGAAAAACAGUGACUGAAACUCAAGAACAUUCUGGAGAGAAGAAUUCCAAGAAGUGAAAAAUCACUUUCUCCAGAAAGGAUUGGCAGGAUGUGCUCCACCCUUUAUAGCAGUUACCUGUUACCAACCUGGACAGCCUGAGACAACAUGAAUAAGGGGACAUCAUCUCUACCUUCCAAGGCUGUUCACUUUACAAACAUCCCUGAGAAGAUCGUCUGGAACAAAGAUGGUCUGUGCACCUGGUUUCAAAACUUACAACAGAUGUGCCAAGCUUUCUAUCUGA
rnacentral:lncRNA from 10 species